UCUACAACACAACGCCACGGUUUUAUUAAAAAAACAAUUUUCUAUGCUCCUCUUCUCAUAACAGCGGAUCCUUCCUAGAACUUUCAUUGUCUCUCUCUCUGUCUCUCUGUCUCAUAUUUUUCUGCUAAGCUUUCAAUAUUACUGCACUUUUUUUCCUCUCGUAUUCAUGAACUUGAUCAAGUACUUUUUGACGAAGAACCCGCGUCGAUUACUUCUCUUUGAUCUUCUUUCUCUUCUCAGGUGACUCCAGCUUGAAGGAAAAUUUGAUAAAAAUGAGUUGUUUUCUGUAGGGCGUUCAAGAUGUUGAAGAGUUUGCAAGAUAGACUGUACCUAUAACUGCCCGGAUAGAGUGGCUUUGUUGAUGGAGAGCUUCUAAUUCGGACGUGACCUAUUUAUUUUUCAAUGAGGCCUUUUCACCAUUGUCAGUUAUCUAGGUCUAAGCUGAAACUGAAGAGAAGCAACAAAAGGGACUGUGGAGGAAGAAAGAAGGGUUUGUGGAGGAAGAAAGAAGAGAUGGAGAGGCAGUGAGGAGAGAGACACGGAGAAAGUAGAAUGAAAGGCAGAAAGAAUAAAAAAUAAAAAAAUGAAAGAGGAAUUUAAACGAAUCUGAAAAAGAUGCCAAACACAUGAACCCUGGCCUUUGUUCAACACACACGCCAAGGGAUCUCCUGACCAGCCGGUAACAAAUACAAACAGUGUGGAUACUGUAAAGAAUCUUUUCAGAGUCCCAAGGCUAGAAAUGCUGGCCUCCAUCCACUUCACGUGCAAAAGGACUUCCUAAGCUUCUUUGCACAAAGCACUAAAAUGCUGUGGUCUUUGAUGGACCAGGCCAUGGGCAGUAAGUUAAAUUGCUGAGUAUGCAGUGGCAGAUUGCAUGAGAUUACUUGGAUGGUUCUCAAUGCUAUAAAAUUAGAUGCAAUGCACCUGAUAGUGUUUCUUCCAGCGAUAAAGGUUGGUUUUUCUCUUCUAAUCUUUUUUUCCUCCCCACCCUCUCCCCCUUUGAGAAAAAUAAUCUAGUAGUGUUAUUCUUGACACAGUGUUAGCACAAGUUAUGAUGACUACAUGCUAUUGUCUUAUCCAUCGUUCAUGUUUCCACAAGUUAUGAUGAAUAAAUGCUGUUGUCUAAUCCAUUUUUACUAUGGCUGACAUUUCAUGUCAAUAUAAUGCUUUGAGAGGGCACACUUUAAUGUGAAAUUUAUGAAUAAAGAAAAUUUGGUUGAAGUUCAAUUUUUGUGCCCCCCCCCCCCCCAAAACAAAGCUUUAACAAGUUAUAAUUUCAUUCCUAAAAAGUUUGAAAGGUUAUCAAUUUCAUUAUUUUUUCCAUCUGUCAUGAAAUUUAUUCAAGUUCACAUCAGCUUUUAAAUGUGUCAUGUUAACACUUCAUCUGUGGUGUACGCAUUUCCUUUAAUGACAAAUGGACAGAAUGAUGAAGCUGAUACCUUUUAAAAUUUUGAAGGAUGAAAUUUUAACUUUUAAAUUUGGGGGAUGAAAAUCUAUCUUGGACCAUAUUUCAGGGACAAAAAGCAUGUUUCAGCCAAGAAUUCUUAAGACUAAUGGUUGAAUGCGCACAGUUCCCUGCUUUUUUGGUAUACCACCAAUAAUUUAUAUGCUUAUAAUUUUCCUUCUGCGUUAGGCAUAUGCCUGUGUCUGAAGGGCUGCCUAUCCCUGCAUGCUUCUGUAUGCUUGGACAUCCUUUUAACUGCAUUGAUUUGGUUACAGCUUUAUAAAUGAAGCUUGACAAAUUCAGAAAACACAACCUUUCUGACAUUUUUCAGUUACUUGUUAUCAGUUAAAGAGCGUGCUCCAUAAAUUUAAAUCAUGUGCUUGCUUUAAUUUUUCCUUUUUACUUGAUUUUUUCCCAAAAUUUUCAAUAAAGGGUUAAAAACUAAUGCUACUAGAAAUGUCAUGGCCAAUAUGAGUUUCUAGUUUGAGAUGCGGAAUAAUCUUGACCAAAUAGAUACAGGUUCCACAAUUAUCAACAAUAGUCUAGUUGAAGAUCACACAAACUUUUAGACUGUUAAUAUGAAACAUGCCAUUUGUAAUGCUUUACCAUUGUUGUGUAAAUUUACAUAUAUAGCUGGUUUGGAUUAUAAGUUGUGGCAAAUUCCAAGGAAGUUUCUAUUCCAAGUUUUCAUUACAAGUCGUGUCUAAAAAUGCUGAAUAAUAAAAUCCCAGAGUUUUGAAGAUUUUAGUCACCUUGUUGAUGGGAUUCAGAUGGAACCACCCAUAGCUGUCAAACGGAUUUACUAAUGCAAUUGUAAUCUGUUGCAGUUUUGAGAAGACAGUCACACAGUAGAAUUUAUAUAAGAAAUAAUUUCUUUAAAACUCUUAAAUUGUAUAUAGCAUGUCAAUAAAUUGAGGAGAUACCCGAGUUCCAUUGCUUUUUCUGGUGCUUCAUCAUUUUGAGGUUGAGGCUGGCUUAGCUGGAGACGGAUGUUUGCAUGCAGAUCGUAUUCAUUGCUGAUAGUGUAUGGAGAACUAGAACAGCUUGCUUCAUUCACAUUCCUUGCUCGAUAAACCUAAGAUGCAAAACUUCUUUUAAACUGGGCUAGAACAAUAAUCUUUACGUUCACUAGUUUCAAUAUGACUGCCAUGUGCCUUAUGGCUAGCUUAAUGUUAUUCAAUUUGGUUUGUUCUUUCCUCCACCGAAGCCAUGCUCUCAAAUAUUGGGAAAAAAAGUUGGAAAAUGUAUAUUUACGGUUGUCUAGAUCAAUACCUUCUUUUUCAAUUCUGCAUUUUCUUUACGAAAAUGUUCUAUCUUUGUGUAGAGUUCUGUAUUUUCUUGAUGAAUCAGAUGUCCCUUCAAUGAAAUGAAAGAAGGUUAGCUGAUUAAAGUGGAAUUAGACCCUAAAAAUAAAUUAGAAGAAAUUGAGCCAUUUAUUGCUUGAAAACCUUCUGGUUUAGUUCCUUAAUUUCAUCAGUUAAUAGUUGUUCCUGCAAAAAAAGAAUAGCUGUGUAAAAAUUCAUGGAUGCAGUAUUUAUUUGGGAACAUAGGAUUGCUGGAUAAAAUUUAGGUAAAGCUAAGUUUCUUAUACCUUCAUUGCUCGGACACCCUUCAAACUCAUUUCCAGCUGGUUUUCCAGAUUUUGUAGAUCCUUGACACUCAAACCAGAGAGUUCUUCACCCAUCAAUUGCCUGCAUGUAUCGUAGAUUAAGUGCAGUAAUGUAAUGGGCGGCAAGGUGUUGUGAGGAGCAUAAAAUGACAUUGAAGUAUAUACAUUUGUAUGAGCUGAACAAGAUACAGCAGCCUGUUCCAUAACUCAUUCCUAGUCUUGCUAGCCACAGAAGUCAUUCUUUAGGUCCUGGUUUAUUUGGGUGGUGGUUCUAGCAUGUGUUGUGUUUUGUUAUGAUUCCUCAACCUGACACAGUCGUUUUGCAAAUGGCUAUGGUCUCUGCAGCCUGAGCUCAUAUUAAUGUCAUUAUACCAAUGCAUGUUUAUGGUAAUACAUUCAUUCCAGUUAAAAAUGUGUUCAAUGAAAUGUAGAAAUGAUCUUGUAGUUUGAACUAUGAGUGCCUUUGAAGAGUAUUCUAGUCAUCCUUGCAACACCUGUGUUAACAUUUUGGAAUAUAAAUUUGUUGACUAACUCAGCCCAACCUGAGCUAAACCCAUGGUUUCUGGCCCAACUCCGGUCAACCCCUUCUUAACACAACCUUAGAGAGAGUAGAGGAGAGUAGUGACUUGUCCUAGAAGAUUUCCUUUUAAGAAAAAUCAAGCCUAAAAGAUUGACUUGCACAGAAUGCCAAGCAUUCUAAGUUGCUAGGAGAAGCAAAUGAAGGGAGGAACUACUGGUUGACUACAAAAAGCAAAGCUAGUUUAAGCGUGAGCUGAGUUUGGAUGAAUUGUUGGGGUUAGGCUAGGAUUGAGAAUGUAAUUCCUCGGUUUGAGCAUGAUUUUACAUCUGCUUGCCCAACCCAAUCCUUCAUAAUCUGGUAUAGCAGUAGCAGUAGUGCCAUUAUCAUUUCAUAUUUUGCCUUUGGUUUAUCUUUUUAUUUUUUGCUUAACUAACACUCUUUUAAUCAAAUUUAAUUUAAACCUUAAUCCUGUGCAUUCCAUGUUCCAAAUGCCAGUUGCUAUGUAUGGUUUAAUAUAAGCAUUGAGUGAUUGUACCUGUGGCAUUCUUGCAAGUACUUCAGUUGUUGACUCAAGUUUGCCGCCUCCCUUUGCCAAAACUAGCAAGUAGAAAACCAAUAUUAGUCUAUGGAAUAUAAUCCAAGUUAUGUGGGACUGCAUGAUUAAAAAAAAAAACUAAGAAUACUGUAUAAAUAUAUUACUGUAAUAUACAGUCUAAUAUUCUAAAUUCCAAAAGUAUAUUGAUCAUCUAUAUGCUGAUCUGUUACUUGUAAAUUAGUAGUGAUAAUGGCUGGAAAUAGGGUUGAGAGCAUAUUACAGGGUAAGAACCCACAGUGGUGCUGUAUUGCAAAUUAAUUAGUCUGCCCUUUUAGGCCUACACUUUUGCGUUGUAUCAUAACUCUUAGCCUUUCUAUAAUGGUGAAAUGAUCCUCAUUAUGGAGAAAUUCUAGACAUGAUUUUUGAGAAAGAAUUGCUGUUGACGCUGACAGAAUAAUACAGGAUUUGGAAUUAAUAACUAAUGAAGAGGGACUAGGUUAUCAUGCUGUUAGGGUUACGUUGAAAAUUAUACUAGGAAAGAUAAACUGUCUAUGAAAUCAAUAUAUCCUUUUUUGAGAAAUAAUUACAACAUGCUGUUGACCCUGCAAUUCGAAUCCCUUCCCCCCUAAACUCCCAAGUACUUUGUACAUAGGAGGUGCCAAUUUAGUUACAAGGCCUUAGGCAUGAAAUCAAUAUGUCCUGGUAAACUAUAAACAGUUACUAUUAUUUGUGGAGGUUUAUGGUGGUUUUCGGCACUGUUCUGGUAAUUCAUUAUGAGACUGGGUGCACGUCUCUGUGUUUUGGUCGUAAAUGACCCAUUUCUAUGUUGGCACGGUGGUUGUCAGAAGUUUGAGUCACUGGUGUCAGUGGUGUCAUUGCUUCCUAGAGUUAGCAGGAAAGACCCUUGUUUGGUUUUUGGUGUUGGUUUUUCUCUAUCAUAAAUAAGGAUAGCACAACCUUUUGUUUGGGUAUCUGGAGUGUUUUGCAGUUGUUUGGGCUUGAGCUAAACUAUUUGGGCUUGGGCUCAAAGUUCUCUUUUUGGGUUUUGGGCUUAGCAUUUCAAGAACCAAAACCCCACUUCCAAUCCAACACUACGACUAGUUCCAACUUGAGACACCCUAGAUCCAUGCCCCAAAACCUAAUUUUGACGGGCAUUGACUUGAGUCAACCUAGGUCCAGGUUAACCCAAAGCCAAAACCUAGUUCCCUUUCAGGUUGACCUGAUUUGAUUGGUUUUCAACCGAUACAAACCAAAGGGGAUAAAAUUUAGAUACUAUUUUUGAGAUAUCUUACUUUAGGGAACCAAAAGUCCGUUUGGUUGGGAGGAUGGAAAAGUGGGAGAAUAGAAAAUGGAGAAAUGAUUGAAAAGUAGGAAGAUAGGAAAGAUUUUAGUUGUUCAAAAAAAAAAAAAAAAAAGAUUUUAGUUUCCCUCAUUUGUGUUUGGUUGAGAGGGUGGAAAAGUGGAGGGAUGAAAUUUUUUUUUGUUUAGUUGAAAUUAAAGUUUGUAUAAAUUUACCAUUAUGUUUUUAUUAAAUAAAACAAAAAGUAAUACAUUAUACUUUUAAAAAAAUUGUGUAUAGAUGGACACUUUAUUAAAGUAAAAAAAAAAAAAAAGAAGAAAAAGAAAUAGCAUAAGAAAAUUAACCCAAAGCAGUUUUCUUAAAAAAAAAAACAAAA